rnacentral:misc_RNA from 1 species
AACGCACAUUGCGCCCGCCGGUAUCCCGGCGGGCAUGCCUGUUCGAGCGUCAUUUCUACCCUCAGGCACGGCCUGGUGUUGGGGACCUGCGCACCGCAGCCCCCGAAAGUCAGCGGCGGCACGCGCCCCGGCUCCGAGCGUAGUAGCAUACGUCGCUCCGGGCGCCGGGCGUGUCCCUGCCGGAAAACACCCAUCUCUUGAAAUGUUGACCUCGGAUCAGGUAGGAAUACCCGCUGAACUUAA